AUAUCAAUAAGCGGAGGAAAAGAAACUAACAAGGAUUCCCCUAGUAACUGCGAGUGAAGCGGGAAGAGCUCAAAUUUGAAAUCUGGCUCCUUCGGGGUCCGAGUUGUAAUUUGCAGAGGAUGCUUCGGCUCCGGGCCCGUCCUAGGUUCCUUGGAACAGGACGUCAGAGAGGGUGAGAACCCCGUCUUCGGUCGGGAUUCCGGCGCCUUGUGAAGCUCCUUCGACGAGUCGAGUUGUUUGGGAAUGCAGCUCUAAGCGGGAGGUAAAUUUCUCCUAAGCUAGAUACCGGCCAGAGACCGAUAGCGCACAAGUA
rnacentral:rRNA from 1 species